GGGCCCGCACAAGCAGUGGAGCAUGUGGUUUAAUUCGAUGAUACGCGAGGAACCUUACCAGGGCUUAAAUGCAGAACGACAGAGGUGGAAACACCUCCUUCUUCGGAGCAGAUUACAAGGUGCUGCAUGGUUGUCGUCAGCUCGUGCCGUGAGGUGUUAGGUUAAGUCCUGCAACGAGCGCAACCCCUAUUCUUAGUUGCCAGCGGUUCGGCCGGGGACUCUAAGAAGACUGCCAGCGCAAGCUGAGAGGAAGGUGGGGAUGACGUCAAAUCAUCACGGCCCUUACGUCCUGGGCUACACACGUGCUACAAUGGUAGAGACAGAGGGCAGCCACCUGGUGACAGGGAGCG
rnacentral:rRNA from 1 species